rfam:[Eubacterium] angustum strain DSM 1989 ETAN_contig000001, whole genome shotgun sequence.
UUAAAUGAGAGUUUGAUCCUGGCUCAGGAUGAACGCUGGCGGCGUGCUUAACACAUGCAAGUCGAGCGAGAGAACUCGAAGGAAAACUUCGGUCGGAAUUCGAAUGAUCUAGCGGC